AGAUAUUACCGGAUUUGCAGUCCAAGCCCGUGUGAACUACCUGCGUGUAUCCUCGGUGGAGAUCCCGCGCCCUGGAAAAAGGGCCGGCCGGCCCGACGCCCCCUAAACUCUGUUUUUAGUGGAACUUCUGAGUAAAACAAACAAAUAAAUCAAAACUUUCAACAACGGAUCUCUUGGUUCUGGCAUCGAUGAAGAACGCAGCAAAAUGCGAUAAGUAAUGUGAAUUGCAGAAUUCAGUGAAUCAUCGAAUCUUUGAACGCACAUUGCGCCCGCCAGUAUUCUGGCGGGCAUGCCUGUUCGAGCGUCAUUUCAACCCUCAAGCUCAGCUUGGUGUUGGGACUCGCGGUAACCCGCGUUCCCCAAAUCGAUUGGCGGUCACGUCGAGCUUCCAUAGCGUAGUAAUCAUACACCUCGUUACUGGUAAUCGUCGCGGCCACGCCGUAAAACCCCAACUUCUGAAUGUUGACCUCGGAUCAGGUAGGAAUACCCGCUGAACUUAAGCAUAUCAAUAAGCGGAGAGA
rnacentral:rRNA from 1 species